rnacentral:rRNA from 1 species
AUUGAACGCUGGCGGCAUGCCUUACACAUGCAAGUCGAACGGUAACGCGGGGCAACCUGGCGACGAGUGGCGAACGGGUGAGUAAUGCAUCGGAACGUGCCUGGUAGUGGGGGAUAACUGCUCGAAAGAGCAGCUAAUACCGCAUACGACCUGAGGGUGAAAGGGGGGGAUCGCAAGACCUCUCGCUAUCAGAGCGGCCGAUGUCGGAUUAGCUAGUUGGUGGGGUAAAGGCCCACCAAGGCAACGAUCCGUAGCUGGUCUGAGAGGACGACCAGCCACACUGGGACUGGGACACGGCCCAGACUCCUACGGGAGGCAGCAGUGGGGAAUUUUGGACAAUGGGCGCAAGUCUGAUCCAGCCAUGCCGCGUGCGGGAAGAAGGCCUUCGGGUUGUAAACCGCUUUUGUCAGGGAAGAAAUCUUCUGGGUUAAUACCCUGGGAGGAUGACGGUACCUGAAGAAUAAGCACCGACUAACUACGUGCCAGCCGCCGCCGUAACAC